rnacentral:rRNA from 1 species
AGUGAACGCUGGCGGUAGGCCUAACACAUGCAAGUCGAACGGCAGCACAGUAAGAGCUUGCUCUUACGGGUGGCGAGUGGCGGACGGGUGAGGAAUACAUCGGAAUCUACUUUUUCGUGGGGGAUAACGUAGGGAAACUUACGCUAAUACCGCAUACGACCUACGGGUGAAAGCAGGGGAUCUUCGCACCUUGCGCGAUUGAAUGAGCCGAUGUCGGAUUAGCUAGUUGGCGGGGUAAAGGCCCACCAAGGCGACGAUCCGUAGCUGGUCUGAGAGGAUGAUCGGCCACACUGGAACUGGGACACGGUCCAGACUCCUACGGGAGGCAGCAGUGGGGAAUAUUGGGCAAUGGGCGCAAGCCUGAUCCAGCCAUACCGCGUGGGUGAAGAAGGCCUUCGGGUUGUAAAGCCCUUUUGUUGGGAAAGAAAAGCAGCAGGUUAAUACCCCGCUGUUCUGACGGUACCCAAAGAAUAAGCACCGGCUAACUUCGUG